GACAAUAGCAAAAAAAAAAAAAAAAAAACCAACAGCAGAAGGUCACCAACAGGUCUUCAAUGUAGCGGAAAAUUCCCGCACCCGGAGUCGUCCUUCAGCUGGCCCCUAAACAAAUAUAUACUAGUUCAGUGAUAAUGAACGCCAUACUAAUUUCCAAAUUGUACACAAGAAACUAAAAUUAAAAUAAUACAAGACUAACAAAGGCCAGAGGCUCCUGACUUGGGACAGUCGCAAAAAUGCGGCGGGGUUAAACAUGUUUGUGAGAUCUCAACCCUUCCCCUAUACCUCUAGCCA
rnacentral:lncRNA from 1 species